rnacentral:lncRNA from 1 species
UUUGGAGGCUCUUGGCUGCCCAUCAGCACUGCAAAUUACGGGUACUCUACUUUGGGUACCCAAACUGAAAGUGCAGAGAACAUUUGUAAAGCUGAAAUGAAAAGGAAAUCCUCCAGGAGGCAAAAAGGCUUGCAGAAGCUGCUAAAACCAAAUGAAUCCCUCUCAAAGGAGCCGAAAGCAUAUAUUGGGAGCACCUCUGAGGAUGGGCAUCCUCAUUUACCAUGAGCUGGAGCAUUCCCCCGCUGAGGUGGGUCUCUAGGCUGGCACAUGCCCAGAGAAACAAGUCACCAUGAAGCAACACAAGCAGAGGCGAUGUGUGGUUUUUGGACUCUGCAAACAAAAACAUACCAUGAAGCCAGCAUCCACAGAAGAGAAAAUGAUCGCAACAUCGGGAUUUCCCAUAGGAUGGAAACUCUGGUCCAUCCAUAUUAU